GACGAACGCUGGCGGCGUGCCUAAUACAUGCAAGUUGAGCGCUGAAGGUUGGUACUUGUACCAACUGGAUGAGCAGCGAACGGGUGAGUAACGCGUGGGGAAUCUGCCUUUGAGCGGGGGACAACAUUUGGAAACGAAUGCUAAUACCGCAUAAAAACUUUAAACACAAGUUUCAAGUUUGAAAGAUGCAAUUGCAUCACUCAAAGAUGAUCCCGCGUUGUAUUAGCUAGUUGGUGAGGUAAAGGCUCACCAAGGCGAUGAUACAUAGCCGACCUGAGAGGGUGAUCGGCCACAUUGGGACUGAGACACGGCCCAAACUCCUACGGGAGGCAGCAGUAGGGAAUCUUCGGCAAUGGACGAAAGUCUGACCGAGCAACGCCGCGUGAGUGAAGAAGGUUUUCGGAUCGUAAAACUCUGUUGGUAGAGAAGAACGUUGGUGAGAGUGGAAAGCUCAUCAAGUGACGGUAACUACACAGAAAGGGACGGCUAACUACGUG
rnacentral:rRNA from 1 species